rnacentral:lncRNA from 1 species
CUUCAACAACCAGCCUCUAUAUACUAGGGAUGGCAAUUUCCGGGUCCGGGUCCGGGUUUGGUCUUUCCGGUUCCGGACCCGGACACCAAAAAAGUCGUACCGGACCCGGAUUUGAACCCGCCUUUUAUGAGUACGGGUCCGGUCCGGGUUAAACCCGGAAAAUCCGGGUUUCCGGAUUGCGGGUUUUUAAACCCGGAUCACAUACAAAUAAAAAGAAAAACGAAAAGAAUACAAACCCAGUUCUACAGAAAUCAAAUACAACCCAAAUUCCUAAAAAUCAAAUCCAAAUUGUAAAAUUUUCAAUGUUUUCAAAGCCAUAAACCAUUCAAUGCAAAUCUAUAACUCACGAUUCACAAAAUACAAAAUCCAUGUCUACAGACUACAAUUCAAACUCACGAUUCACGGCUUCAGUUCAUGAACUUCAAGGAUCGGCGUCCGGCGAAGCAACAAACGUCGGCUAUUGAUGAUGAUGAUGCGGACGAUGACGAUGAUGACGACCACAACGUCACAGCCGCGAUUACGAUUGGCAAAGGUGGACAAACGGCGGCCAAAUGGAGGUUGAUGGUGCUGGUGAACAUGAACACAACGAAGAUAUGACGAGUGACGAUGAUGAUUUGAUGAAGAGAAGAGCAUGAUUUGUGAAGAGAAGAGAAGAGAAGAGUUGAAGGAGGAAAAGAAUGAGAAGAGAAGAGAAGAAUGAAGGUGGCGGCUAGGUUGUGAAAGUGUGAAAUUAGGGCAUCUCUCUUUUUUUUUUUUUCUAUUUAUAUUAAAAAAAUAAUUUUAAAUUAAAGAUAUCCGG